AUACCGGCGGCCCGAGUGGUGGCCGCUAUUAUUGGGCCUAAAGCGUCCGUAGCCGGGCCUGUAAGUCCCUGGCGAAAUCCCACGGCUCAACCGUGGGGCUUGCUGGGGAUACUGCAGGCCUUGGGACCGGGAGAGGCCGGGGGUACCCCUGGGGUAGGGGUGAAAUCCUAUAAUCCCAGGGGGACCGCCAGUGGCGAAGGCGCCCGGCUGGAACGGGUCCGACGGUGAGGGACGAAGGCCAGGGGAGCGAACCGGAUUAGAAACCCUAGUAGUCC
rnacentral:rRNA from 1 species